rnacentral:lncRNA from 1 species
CGCGGGCCAGCCCCCGGGCCGCCCCCCCCAAACUCUCCCCCCCCCUUGCCCCGGUCUCUCUUUUUAAGCUCUCCUGAGCCGGGGCUGCGCUUCUCUAAUUGGGAGUGUGAGCCGGGGCUAUUUCUGGAGCUGGCGCCACUCCAAGAGGGCAUCCGCAUUUGCAACAAGCGGCGGCGGCGGCGACGGCGGCGGGAGGAGCCCGAGCAGGGAAGCUUAGCGAGGUCAUUCGCUCGCAGUCCGCGUUGCUCCCCCGCAACCCGGAGCUACGCACCCAAGCCGGCCCGCCGAACGCCAUCCCCCUACCCUUUACCACCUCUCAUUAGAGAAGGGGGAGGAUGAGUGAAUCUAGUUCAAAGUCCAGCCAGCCUCUGGCCUCCAAACAGGAGAAAGACGGGUCUGAGAAGAGAGGGCGGGGCCGACCCCGGAAACAACCCCCGAAGGAGCCCAGUGAGGCACCAACUCCCAAGAGACCUCGGGGCAGACCGAAGGGGAGUAAGAACAAGGGGGCUGCUAAAGGCCGGAAAACUACCACUGCACCAGGGAGGAAACCAAGAGGGAGACCCAAAAAACUGGAGAAAGAGGAGGAAGAAGGGAUAUCCCAGGAGUCUUCAGAGGAGGAGCAGUAACCAAGUCUGCUUAUAUCUCGCUACCUCAUUCCCCUUGAUGACGAUGACGACCACGGCGGCGGCGGCCCUUUCGUUCUGGGACUAGACAGAAAAAUGUUGAUCUUUAAGCCCCCAUUUUUCUUCCCCCACUUCUCCUUUCCCUCGAUCUGUCCUUCCUGGUUUUACUGGUCAGAGAAAUAAUAGCUCUACCUGGGAAAAAUGCCUCCCCAUUCACACAUUGAACAUAUUCACACUAACCCUGGCCAUCCCAUACGGGAUUGUGCUGGGUAGGGUGGAGCAGACAGCAGCAGGUGGUUAAGCCUCCCUCCCCCCAUCUCCCACAUCCAUCCAUCCACCCAUCCACAGACCCACCCAUCCUUUCCAAGGAUUGGGAUUUUUUUUGUAUGCCUCCUUCCCUGGACAGAGCUAACCUUUUGACUUAGCUGCCAACACCUGUUUCUUUGUCUCUGCCCCUCUGGAAUGGGACCAGGGUUCCUGUUUUCCCAUCUCCCCACUCCCCCACUCCAACUCAAAAGGGUUUGAGAGGGAAGGACAGAUGUGUGAGUAUCUUGAUCAUAAGAACUCAGCUUCAGUUGACUUCUGUUUGGGGAUAUUCUGUAUCCCCGAAACCCCUCCUUUCUACCUUCUACUCAGUCAAGAUUGGUCCCGAGGGUGGAGAUGGGAGCAGGCUUUUUAGGGGGAGUGGG